CGAACGCUGGCGGCGUGCUUAACACAUGCAAGUCGAACGAUGAAGCCCUUCGGGGUGGAUUAGUGGCGAACGGGUGAGUAACACGUGGGCAAUCUGCCCUUCACUCUGGGACAAGCCCUGGAAACGGGGUCUAAUACCGGAUAUCACUCUCGCAGGCAUCUGUGAGGGUCGAAAGCUCCGGCGGUGAAGGAUGAGCCCGCGGCCUAUCAGCUUGUUGGUGAGGUAAUGGCUCACCAAGGCGACGACGGGUAGCCGGCCUGAGAGGGCGACCGGCCACACUGGGACUGAGACACGGCCCAGACUCCUACGGGAGGCAGCAGUGGGGAAUAUUGCACAAUGGGCGAAAGCCUGAUGCAGCGACGCCGCGUGAGGGAUGACGGCCUUCGGGUUGUAAACCUCUUUCAGCAGGGAAGAAGCGAAAGUGACGGUACCUGCAGAAGAAGCGCCGGCUAACUACGUGCCAGCAGCCGCGGUAAUACGUAGGGCGCAAGCGUUGUCCG
rnacentral:rRNA from 1 species